rnacentral:RNase_P_RNA from 1 species
GUGACGGGUUGGAUAGCCGCUUGAUUGUUUUUACUUAGGUAAAAACAGUUGAGAGGAAAGUCCGGGCUCCGAAGAACAUGGUGCCGGGUAACUCCCGGGCGAAUCAAUCCACAGCUUUCUUUGAAAACUGCGGAUUGAUUUGACAGAUAGUGCCGCAGAAAAUAUACCGCCAUGUGUCCUUUGGGCGUGGAGUUUGCAUGCAAACUCCUAAUGACUUUGCAUGCAAAGUCAUCAUGGUAAGGGUGAAAAGGCGGGGUAAGAGCCCACCGCUUCAUUGGCAACAAUGAAGGCAAGGUAAACCUCACCAGGAGCAAAGUUAAGCAGCAGAGGAUUGUUCGUCCAGAAGCUUUCGAGACCUAGUCGAGAAAGAUUAAAUCUGCGGGUAAACUGCUUGAGUUCGGAGGAAACUCCGCGCCGAGAUAGAUGGUUAUCGGCUGCCGGCUUUACGGCAGACAGCUUACAAAACCCGGCUUACAGGCCCGUCUUUUUA